rnacentral:snoRNA from 14 species
GAUGGACACUCCGUGACCUCCUAAGGAUAGGUAGUGUGCUAAACGAGCGGCAAGGUUUUUACUAACAUCCCACUCUGGCCCAGUGAGUGGGGUUUGAUAGUAACCUUUGCUACAAGU